rnacentral:rRNA from 1 species
UACAGAGGGUGCAAACGUUGCUCGGAAUUAUUGGGCGUAAAGCGCACGUAGGCGGUUCGUUAAGUCAGAUGUGAAAGCCCCGGGCUCAACUCGGGAAGUGCAUUUGAAACUGGCGAGCUUGAAUAUGGAAGAGGGUCGCGGAAUUCCCGAUGUAGCGGUGAAAUGCGCAGAUAUCAGGAGGAACACCGGUGGCGAAGGCGGGUCUCUGGGCCGAUAUUGACGCUGAGGAGCGAAAGCGUGGGGAGCGAACAGG